AUGCCACCGCACUCCAGCCUAAGUGACAGAGUCACUGUAGUUAUCACUUCUAUGAUUCCCUCCGAUUUUCUAACAAGUUUUUGAGAUGGUCUCAUACUCUUUAGGCUGGAGCACAGCGGCAUAUCAGGGAUUGUGAGUCCUCCAACUUAGUUUCUGUUUCUCAGGAUUCCUUAGACAUUCCGGGCCAUUUGUGGUUCUAUAUGACCAUUAGCAUUGUGUAUUCACAUUUCUUAAAUUUCUGUGCAUAAUAAAGUAUAUAAUUAGAGAGUAUGCUGGGACUGUUGUUCCUCUGGGAUAUUUUGAUUCAUGUAUAUUUUUACUAAUGAUCAAAUCAGGGUACUUGCCACAUCUGUUCUCUCACACAGGUAUUCUUCUUUUGUGAGAACAUUGGAAUUGCUCCAUUCUAGCUUUUUUGAAAAAUACAGUAUUUUGUUAACCACAAUUACCGAGCUGCGAGCUGUGGUAUAGAGAACAAGAAUGUAUCUGUCCCAACUAACUGCAACUUUGUUUCCAUAACCAAUCCUCCCAUUCCCUCCUUUCCCUCUCCUCAGAAAACCACUACUGUGCCUUCUACUUAUCGGAGGCAGAGUUUUCUGGAUUCCAUAUAACUGAGAUGAAUCUCUGCUUGUUUUUCUAUGCCUGGCUUAUUUUAUUUAACAUAUUUUCCAGGUUCAUCUGUAUGGCUCCAAAUGAAAAUUACGUUGUUGUGGAUGAACAGUAUUGCGUUGUGCAGAUAUACUGCAGUUUCUUCAUCCCUUCAUCUGUGGAUGGAAAGGUUCCACCAUGUUGGUGCGGAUGACCUGAUUGCGGUACCCGUGUCUGGGUGAAGAGGAUCCGGUUGUGACUAGAUGCUGCAGUUUCUGAAUCCCAUUCUCUGUGGGUGGACAGGACCCAUAGAAGAUGCCGAUUUAAAUAAACUGCUGCCUUCCUGAGAAUACAGGGCAAGAAAUGAUGAAAGCUAUUCAACUCCUCGAGACCCAGAGACCAGUGAAAGAGUAAGACACAGUUGGAGAAUUUGGUUAUUUUAUCAAGGGUUGGACUGAAAUGGUGUGCUUUCCUUUAAGGAAUCAGACUUACGAAGCCAAUAAAGCCCUUCGAAAAGCUGGCCUCAUAUUUUGUGUGCACAGUCCCUGUAUAGGGUUUUGAUCUGUGGUAAAUAAUGUCACUUGCUGUGACAGGCGCAGAAGCCCCGGUUUAUCUUGGAACCUCAAGAGAAGAGGAAAUUCACUGAAAUCAUAGGUUUCUCCAUCUUGCUGGUAGUGAACUGAUGUCCGGGAUUUUGGUGGCUGAAGAGUAUACUUGUGCAUAAAUCCUUCAAUUCCUGCAUUUUUUCAGCUGUGGAAAGACAAGUGGGUUGAUUCUACACCUUGAUUAUUGUCCAGAGUACUUCAUGAAACACGGGGAGGGAGAGCCCUCCUUAAGGUAGGUUUCCUUGGCUUUGCGGGUGUAGCCAGUGUUGGGAUGGCUAGAGGAACUGGUAGUUGUGGUGGUUCAGAAACCUCCAGCUGUCUCUCCCAGUGAGUAUAAGAAUUUGCAUUCUCACUAGUAGUAUGUAAGAGUUCCUCUGUCAGUAAAUCUACACUGCCCUUAUCUUCACAAAGUUUUACUGCUGUUCCUGGUCAUACUCGUUCUCUGGGGAGUUUGAUAGUAUCUGAGUGUGGUUGGGAUUUACAAUUUGGGGGAUGAUUACUGAUACGGAGAAACUUUUCUGUUACCCGAGAGUCUGUUUCAGGUGUUUUCAGAAAUGCCUAUGCCAGUCCUCUGGGUGUUUAAAAGCGUGUGUAUUGGUUUUUACGUUUUUGUCCACUUAGGACCAUUAGUUUCUUGAAUAUGUUAGGUAAGAAGCCCUUCCAGAUCACAGUUUUCCAUAAUUUUCUUCUAGUCUGCAGGAUGCCUUUUAUUUGGGUUCUCUAUUUUCUCUCCUUUGUUGAAGCUGUGUGAAGCUCUGAAGUUGUCCUUAGUCUCACAUGGUUGCAUUAGUUUUUGUUAGCACGGAUUUCUGUGUCCCUUUGAGAAGAAAAGCGAGAUGGUGAAGCCAUUGUAUGGUCUAUGGGUAUUUGGUUCCUAUGUCUUCCUUUUCUGUUUGUAGCUUAGGUUCACAGGUUCAAGUUUCCCCACAGUGGACACGCACCCUGUGCGUUUUCCUUGGAGAUUUUUGGUUUCAGAAUUGCAGUUAGGUGUUCAGUGGGUUUCGUGUCGCUUUUUGUGUCUUGUGUAGAGGAAGGGUUUAUUUCAGUCCUUUGUACGUGACCCCCCCGUUGCCUCAACCAUUGCGCCUUUGGUGUGCUUUUGGGGGAAAACAAGAAUCCCAUGGGUUCAGUGUUUAUAAUUUUGGGUUGAUUAUUUGACUCCUUCAUUGUGUCCAUUCGGUUGUCUUUCUGUGUUCAUGCCGCUAAUGGGUGGAUUGGACUUUUUGUUUUGUGAGUUUUCUUCCUUUUUUCUAUUUCUAUUUCCAAAGCUGGGUUUUCUAAAAUGAUAGCUACUUUUAUUGUGAUCGAGGGGUACACCUGCAGAUUCAGUUCCCUACAUGGUUAUGCGGUAGAAUUUUGAUGCUUGGGGUCCUAACGUACCCGUCACCCAGGUAGUGAACGUAACACCAGUUGGGUCUUUCUUCCUCCAAGGCUCCCUGUCUCCCUUCUUUUUUUGUCUGGUAUACCCAGCGUCUGUUGAUUUCAUCUUUAUGUUGAUGUGUAUUGGAUGUUGAGCUUCCACUUACAUAUGAGAACCUGCAGUGUUUGAUCUUCUGUUCUUGCCUCAGUUGCUUAGCAGAGUGGCUUCCAGUUCCACCCAUCUUCCUACUGAGGGCAUGAUUUUGUUUCUGUGUUUGAUUUUCCUUAGUGGCUUUUUGGCAUUCUUUGAUGUAUAGGUACCACGUUUUUAAAAAUCAGAUUUUCUGUUGGUGUGCGUCUAGGUCAGUUCCCCGUCUUUAUUCCUGUCAGUAACACUCCUGUGGACGUGUGAGUGUCAGUGUCUUUUUGAUAGAUGCAUGUAUUUUUCCCUUGGGUAGAUGCACGGGGUGGGAUUGCUGGGUCAAAGCGUAAGCUCUGCUUUCUAUCCUUUUUUUUUUUUCCAGAAAUCUUCAGAUUGGUUUCCACAGUUUGAGAUCUAGUUUGCAUUACCUCCAAGAGAAUAGCCGUGUUUGAUUUUCUCUGCUGCAACACCAGCGUGUUAUAUUUUGACAGGACAAAUGGCCACUCUGACCAGCGUGUGAUGGCACUGGUACCUCAUCUCUGAUGAUUAGUGAUCUGGAGCAUCCCCCAGGCCUGUUGAAAUAGCAAUCCCUUGAAAAUGUCUUCUCAGUUAUAACCCAUAUGUAUGUUGCUCAGGCCGCUGUGUGGCCCCAGCACUGUUGGUUUGCACUGGGACUUGGGGAUUGUUUGUCAUUGUUACCCAGGACAAAUGUUACACUGCUUUUCCUACAGUGAGUAGUGGGAGUGGCGUAUGGGGACAUACGCUUAUGCCCACAGUUCCAUCAGAAAUCCCACUGCCUUAAGACAGUCUCACGGCAACCCAGUCCCAGCCUUGCAGCACCAGGUAACCCUGUGGCGUUUUGACUUGGGUGUGUCUGCAUUGUUAAAGUCAUUCAGCACAUUGCCAUGCAUUUAUCCACUUCGGUCAAUGUUAAGGGAAGUUCAUUGCCUCUGCUUCUUCAGUGACUGAUGUCUGGUGCAUCAACUGAAUGCAUUUCAGGCUUAUAAGGCGUUCACCUGAAUCUAUGGGUAAAAAAGCUUUUCACCAUGCCCACCUCCCCAGUGAGUGACCAGUGUCUCAUUAUUAAUGCAUCUGAUGGCACAGAGUUUUAGUGGUUGGAGGGAGGUCAGUCGCCUAGCAGAGACUGAAAUCACGUUGGUAUUUACGUUAUUACUUUGCUACACCUUGGUUUCUGGCAGGGUUUCACACUGUUUAGUCUGGACUGAAUCUUUGAAUUACUUUACUUUGUCUACCAACUAUUUCAAAGAACUUGAUAAACUUGUUCUAAUUAGCCAACAUAGUCAUCCAUAAUGUCCGUAUACGAGGUCUAAUAAUAAAACAUUUCUUAAUGCACACGGCAUGGAAGACAGUCUACACAUUUUCAAGUGUAGACUUUGCCUGUGACUCUUUAGUGAGGAAUAGUCAUUGUUACUUUAGGAAAACCCUGAGUUUAUCCAACUCUUGUUAGAAUUGGAUAAGUGUGAAUUCCUACAAUAGAAUACAAGUGUGAGAGCCAAGUCCUGUGGUAAAAUAAACUCAUUAUUUAUGUA